rnacentral:rRNA from 1 species
GACGAACGCUGGCGGCGUGCUUAACACAUGCAAGUCGAACGGAAAGGCCCCUUUGGGGGUCCUCGAGGGGCGAACGGGGGAGUAACACGUGAGUAACCUGCGCUUGACUUCGGGAUAACGGCAGUAAACUGGGGCUAAUACCGGAUAGGAAUCCUUGCUGCAUGGUGGGGGUUGGAAAGCUUCGGCGGUUUUGGAUGGACUGGCGGCUUAUCAGCGUGUUGGUGGGGUAGUGGCUUACCAAGGCUUUGACGGGUAGCCGGCCUGAGAGGGCGACCGGCCACAGUGGGACUGAGAUACGGCCCAGACUCCGACGGGAGGAAGAAGUGGGGAAGAUUGAACAAGGGGCGGAAGCCUGAUGCAGAAACGCCGCGUGCGGGAGGACGGCCUUCGGGUUGGAAACCGCUUUCAGCAGGGGCGAAGCUUGUGGUGACGGUACCUGCAGAAGAAGCACCGGCUAACUACGUG